rnacentral:lncRNA from 1 species
CUCAGAUUGUGGGAACAAGAAGUUCUGUAUUAGGAGUCCUUUGAACUGUGACCCAGAGAAGGAGGCUUCCUGUGUCUUCUUGUCCUUCACAAGAGAUGACCAAUCGGUGAUGGUUGAAAUGAGCGGCCCCAGUAAAGGCUAUUUAUCCUUUGCAUUGUCUCAUGAUCAGUGGAUGGGAAUCAUAUUUCAGAAAAAGAAAAGGAACUCUGACAUGGCUGUAAUAGAAAAACUAAUGCUCG